UGCCCAGCAACUCCUAUCCCUACCUCCACGCGGAACCGACCGGAAACUAUGAGCAACCUUAGGGAAGAUCGGGUAACCAACCCCGGUGGGAACUUUGGUCGUAGGCUGACAGGGAAGG
rnacentral:ribozyme from 1 species